CUCUGGGUAGCUCAAUGGGUAGAGCAGCGUGCACAGAACACGCCUGUCGCAGGUUCGAGUCCUGCUCCAGAAC
rnacentral:tRNA from 2 species